AGAUGCGAGAGUAGAGCAUAUCAAUAAGCGGAGGAAAAGGAACUAACAAGGAUUCCCUUAGUAACGGCGAGUGAAGCGGGAAGAGCUCAAAUUUGAAAUCUUCAAGGUUCUACCUUGACGAAUUGUAGUUUAUAGAAGUGUUUUCUGUUAGUGGAGUGGCAAAAGUUCUUUGGAAUAGGACAUCAUAGAGGGUGAGAAUCCCGUAUUUGGUCAUUCCUCCUAGCGUUGUGAUACACUUUCAACGAGUCGGAUUGUUUGGGAAUGCAGUCCAAAAUGGGUGGUAAAUUUCAUCUAAAGCUAAAUAUUGGCGAGAGACCGAUAGCGAACAAGUACCGUGAGGGAAAGAUGAAAAGAACUUUGAAAAGAGAGUUAAACAGUACGUGAAAUUGUCAAAAGGGAAGCGUUUGACACCAGUGUUGUUUUUCCGAAAAUCAAUUACGAAUGUUUUGUUUUUGAGGAGUUAUGACUUCAUCGGCUUGCUCCUUUCUUUAUGAAACUUUCUUAAUGCACUUUUCGGUUAACAAGUCAACAUCAAUUUCUUUUGUUGUAAAAGGGUAUGAGGAAGGUGGCUUUCUUUUCGGAGAAAGUGUUUAUAGCCUUUGGCUUCUGCAAUCGGAGAGAUUGAGGUCUGCAGCGUAGAUCCUUCGGGGUUAGAUACAGUUUGUGCUAAGCUAUAGUUCUUUAUAGACAACUUGUUGACUAUAAUCAAUCCUGUAACUUACUCGCUUAUGCUAUUUUACCUACGCUUAGGAUGUUGACGAGACUGUCGAUCUC
rnacentral:rRNA from 1 species